GAUGAAGAACGUAGCGAAAUGCGAUAAUUAAUGUGAAUUGCAGAAUUCAGUGAAUCAUCGAGUCUUUGAACGCACAUUGCGCCCCCUGGUAUUCCGGGGGGCAUGCCUGUCCGAGCGUCAUUGCUGCCCUCAAGCCCGGCUUGUGUGUUGGGCCUUGCUCCCCGGGGGCAGGCCCGAAAGGCAGUGGCGGCACCGCGUCCGAUCCUCGAGCGUAUGGGGCUUUGUCACCCGCUCUGUAGGCCCGGCCGGCGCUUGCCGACCCCAAUCAAUCUUUUUUCAGGUUGACCUCGGAUCAGGUAGGGAUACCCGCUGAACUUAAGCAUAUCAAUAAGCGGAGGA
rnacentral:misc_RNA from 1 species